UUACACUGCGUGCAUUCUGGUGCCCGCAACCGCAAUCGCGGUUGCAGUUAAACGGGAAACACGACGCCGGCGCAAGCGCCCAAGAGUUCAAUUCUUGAAUUCUUGAACUUGCCGGCCUAACGUGUGCUGCCCCCGCAACGGUAAGCAAGCGUCGUCUCCUGACGGCAGCCGGCCUCGAUGCCACUAUGCAGUUUGCAUGGGAAGGCGGCCCGGUCAGUCUUGCCAGCCCGGAUACCGGCCGGAAUGGUGCAUGAGCG
rnacentral:ncRNA from 2 species